UACAGAGGUCCCAAGCGUUGUUCGGAUUCACUGGGCGUAAAGGGUGCGUAGGUGGCCAGGUAAGUUUGGUGUGAAAGCUCGGAGCUUAACUCCGAAAAGUCAUUGAAUACUAUCUGGCUGGAGGGUCGGAGGGGAGACUGGAAUUCUCGGUGUAGCAGUGAAAUGCGUAGAUAUCGAGAGGAACACCAGUGGCGAAGGCGAGUCUCUGGGCAUUAACUGACGCUGAGGAGCGAAAGCAUGGGGAGCGAACAGG
rnacentral:rRNA from 1 species